rnacentral:rRNA from 1 species
AGAGUUUGAUCAUGGCUCAGAACGUACGCUGGCGGCACGCCUAACACAUGCAAGUCGAACGAAGUAGCAAUACUUAGUGGCAGACGGGUGAGUAACAUGUGGGUAUCUACCCUUUGGCCUGGAAUAACACGAGGAAACUUGUGCUAAUACCGGAUAAGUCUUUACGGAGAAAGCUUUAUGCACCAUUGGAUGAGCCCGCACUUGAUUAGUUUGUUGGUAGGGUAAUGGCCUACCAAGACUAUGAUCAAUAGCUGAUUUGAGAGGAUGAUCAGCCACAUUGGGACUGAGACACGGCCCAAACUCCUACGGGAGGCAGCAGUGGGGAAUCUUGCACAAUGGAGGAAACUCUGAUGCAGCGAUGCCGCGUGAGUGAAGAAGGCCCUUGGGUUGUAAAGCUCUUUCGUCGGGGAAGAAAAUGACUGUACCCGAAUAAGAAGGUCCGGCUAACUUCGUGCCAGCAGCCGCGGUAAUACGAAGGGACCUAGCGUAGUUCGGAAUUACUGGGCUUAAAGAGUUCGUAGGUGGUUGAAAAAGUUAGUGGUGAAAUCCCAGAGCUUAACUCUGGAACUGCCAUUAAAACUUUUCAGCUAGAGUAUGAUAGAGGAAAGCAGAAUUUCUAGUGUAGAGGUGAAAUUCGUAGAUAUUAGAAAGAAUACCAAUUGCGAAGGCAGCUUUCUGGAUCAUUACUGACACUGAGGAACGAAAGCAUGGGUAGCGAAGAGGAUUAGAUACCCUCGUAGUCCAUGCCGUAAACGAUGUG